GAUGUGUUCUAACUGUUAUAUUUCACCAAAAAUCCAUGUUUGUUGAUAUUUUGUUAUUUAUUUUCAUAUAAAUCUGGUUUUGUGUGUAUUUAUUUUGGGGAGCUUUUAUUUUGUUAAUUUUAUUCUGGCGGUGUGACCAGUUGCCUGUUAGUGAUGUCACUUCCUGUAUUCUCCUCAGUAGCGGUACGCUAUGGUGAGGAGAGGUAAGACAAUCUGAGCGCUCUGGUUCAAAGUGACUUAAAACAUGUUAAAACCGCUAAGUAGAAGUUCUUACCAUACUUUAACUGUCACUAGCUUUGUUCAUUGUCAUGGUGAUAUUUGUUUGAAUGUGUACAUACAGUUUUAUUGUGUACGGCACUUUUUGUGUGAGAUGCUAGCUCACUUCUCUCAGGCUAGCUUAAUGAAGAGCACACGUGUGGAUUCUUAUGCGCUGGUUCUUUUCUCCCUCUCAUUUAAAGGUGUGCUAUGUGCGUGUAGGAACCCAGAGCUGCUGUACUGAUUUAAUUGUGUGUUGUACACAGGUAUGCAAAAUAAAACCCCCGUUCAACUGGCAAAGCAGAAGAUGUCUGUCGUCCAUUACUACGCAUACUGAAAUUGAGGGAGUGUCAGGCCAGACCGGCUACA